UGACUUCAUCACUAACACAAUUGUCAUGAGUCAAGCAGUUUCCAUAGCAACGCCCUAGUACAGCUGUUUACCCAUAUAAAGUACUGCACCUACUUAGUUCCAUAUACAGACAGAUCACUAGAUUCCUAGGGCUCUGAUGGCUGGGAAGUAGCAAGCCAGGCGGGAAUUAUCCUGGCCUCCCCCUGUGGAGCGGGACCUGCAGGAUUAUUCUUUCCUCUUGUGGAAACUUCCAGCCAACAACUUCUUUCAUGAGCAGCAUGAAUCCAGUUUCCUAUGGAGUCAGAAAUUUGAUUAUCCUUGAAGCACAUGUUGGAUUUUUUCUCUACUCUCUGAAGCCAACCGAAGUUUUCCAAAGACUUAUGGAUGGAUAGUGCAGAGUGUUC